UACGGAGGGUGCAAGCGUUAAUCGGAAUUACUGGGCGUAAAGCGUGCGUAGACGGUUAUGUAAGUCAGAUGUGAAAGCCCCGGGCUUAACCUGGGAAUGGCAUUUGAGACUGCAUAGCUAGGGUGCGGAAGAGGGAAGCGGAAUUUCCGGUGUAGCGGUGAAAUGCGUAGAUAUCGGAAGGAACACCAGUGGCGAAAGCGGCUUCCUGGUCCAGCACCGACGUUCAGGCACGAAAGCGUGGGGAGCAAACAGG
rnacentral:rRNA from 1 species